GAUGAACGCUGGCGGCGUGCCUAAUACAUGCAAGUCGAGCGAACAGACGAGGCGCUUGCUCCUCUGACGUUAGCGGCGGACGGGUGAGUAACACGUGUAUAACCUACCUAUAAUACUGGUAUAACUUCGGGAAACCUUCUCUAAUACCGGAUAAUCUCUUGCACCGCAUUGUUCAAUAGUGAAAUUCGGUUUUGCUGUCACUUAUAGAUUGUUCCGCGCCGCAUUAGCUAGUUGGUAAGGUAACGGCUUACCAAGGCAACGAUGCGUAGCCGACCGGAGAGGGGGAUAGGCCACACUGGAACUGAGACACGGACCAGACGACUACGGGAGGCAGCAGUAGGGAAUCUUCCGCAAUGGGCGAAAGCCUGACGGAGCAACGGCGAGUGAGUGAUGAAGGUCUUCGGAUCGUAAAACUCUGUUAUUAGGGAAGAACAAAUGUGUAAGUAAAUAUGCACGUCUUGACGGUACCGAAUAAGAAAGCCACGGCUAACUACGUG
rnacentral:rRNA from 1 species